UUUUCCUUGUAAAAUCUAGCUAAGAAGACAAAAGAAAGAACAAGCUGUGGACAAGGUGAAGGAAGUCCACCUGGAAGGGCACCUGGAUCCUUCCCUUUGAAGAGCAUCCACAUCACCCAUGCUGCCCAAAUCGGGAAACCACUAGCCUUCUCCACCCUCCCUGCUCCCCCCCGGGUCAUGUUGGUUUCCGCACAAGAGGAUGGCAGCACCACAGUGGCUUUCAAUUUGCACCCCAUAGGGGUCCAAGGCACUCCUGGGCCUGGCUGCACUCUCGGGCUUUCGAGCGCCUGCAUUACAACAGCUAGCAUUGUUUCUCUGCGCAGGCAGCGUGACUCGACUCUUCUCUGCCUCUCUCCCUCCACGUUUUUCGCAUUCAGCAGAGGCUGCACUGCCUUAUGCAACCGCUUGAUCACGCCCUGGACGCCUGCUGCCCCAGUGUUCUGCCGCUCAAUCCAGCUGCAGUUCUAGUUACACCUGAAACCCCAGUGAAAAGAAACCACACGACAGAUGCCAAUAAAGCAAAUGAAAUUUCUGUUCCUCCGUCACUGCCUCCAACAACAACACGACACUGUUCCACCUCCGAAGUCCCCAGAAAGAAAGCGCGGGUGGCUGCGUCCUGGCCUGCUCUCCCCGCAGCCCUUUGUCCUGGUCCGCACCGGCUCCCCCGCCCUUCCACAGAGACUCAGAGAAACCUUUUUUUGUUCACUGUCAGGUCAACAAGGAGGCAAAUUAAAAACUAACAACUUUUGAAUUUCAACAGCAGACAAAGUGAAUGUAGACUAAGAAGCAAAGAGAAAGAAAAGAGGGGAAGACCCCAAGGGAAGAAAAGCCGGACCGGGGAUUUGGAGGGCAGGGCCGCCUCGUUUGAUGUGGGAGGUCUGAGCGCAGCCCGCUGCGACGCGCCCCAGGACAUCUCAUUACCCGUGUCAUCAAAGCCCCCUCAGGUCCAGCGAAUCAUAACAUUAUCUCUGACAUUACCACACAGAUACAAGGUUCCGAGGCAGUCUAUAAACAUGCCUGUACUAACCAAUUCAUCGCGGCUUGACACCCGGCAAGGGCUGGGUGCCCUUUCGUGAGCUCAGUGAAUUGCCCCAGUCAUUCAUCAAAGUUUCUUGGAGUGCAUUUCACACAGCAUUAAAUUUAAUUAAAGCAACAUUGACUGCAUUGUAAUCCUCGGGAGGCUCUUUGUCACAGGAAUCUGGAACACUUUCGGCUUAAAAUAUCUAUUGUUUUGCUGGCGUUUUUUCUUGGUUGUUGGGUUUGGGGUUUGAGCUUUUCUUUAAAGGUUGGAUAUCCGGAUCAAACUGAAGUGGUGGUGACUUCCCUUUCAUCCCUCAUUUCUUUUCCUCUUUGUUUCUUCUUUUACUUGUUCUUCCUUUUCCUUUCUUUUCUUUGUUUAAUUUCCAAAAGCAAAAGGCCUAAGUGUUUGUUACAGAAAGGGGUUUCAAGAA
ensembl:lincRNA